UUUCCGUAGGUGAACCUGCGGAAGGAUCAUUACCGAGUUAGGGUCUUUAUGGCCCGACCUCCAACCCUUUGUUUAAUCUACCAUGUUGCUUUGGCAGGCCCGCUUAGAAAUGGGCCGCCGGAGACCUUUGAGUCUCUGGUCAGUGCCUGCCAGUAGCCUUUCUAAAUUCAUUUAUAACCGUGUCUGAAUAUACAAAGAAAAAUUAAAAUAAAACUUUCAACAACGGAUCUCUUGGUUCUG
rnacentral:misc_RNA from 1 species